UUAUGUGCUUUUGUCCUUUUGUGACUUUUCUUUCUGUACUUUUGGGAAGCUCGAUGUAGCGCCCAUGCAGGCAUAGUUAGGCCUGCCAGCUGUGUACUUUUACAGCUAGCCUAGCUUUUGGGCUUCUCAAAGAAGUAUUUGUCUUUGAUCCUGUCGUUUGGAUGGCCAUCCACUCCCUUAUUGUGUGAAUGUCUUGGUGUUUUUGAUUUAUUAGUUAUUUGUAUUUCAUUGUAGUACAGGAAAUUAGGUCGGCCCUACAAAGGUCAGCUUGUGUCAUCUGAGCCUUUGGUGUUAUUCCUGUUCUCUGUAUUUGUCUUUGUCUUUGUCAUUGUCUUUUGUGGUUUGUUUCUUGUUGUAGGAGUAGGGGGCGCUGCAGGGAAGGCUGGUCACCUGGUAUCGGGAGUUUAGCUUGUAGUGCCUGUGUGGGUUCACUGUGUGUUUUCCAGUACUGUUCACCUGUGUGGGUUGCGGUGGUUGCGUCUCCUAUAUCCACGUGUGGUCUUGACCUCCCUGUCCUCAGGAUAGCCUGCCUCCCUGUGAGGCAAAGCAGCAGCCAGCGGACGGUGGUAGCAGCAAACAUCCUUAUAACAACGCUUCUGGAGUAGGGGGCGCUGCAGGGAAGGCUGGUCACCUGGUAUCGGGAGUUUAGCUUGUAGUGCCUGUGUGGGUUCACUGUGUGUGUUUUCCAGUACUGUUCACCUGUGUGGGUUGCGGUGGUUGCGUCUCCUAUAUCCACGUGUGGUCUUGACCUCCCUGUCCUCAGGAUAGCCUGCCUCCCUGUGGUAAGCCCUACUCCUUCUUGUCUAAUUAAUUGUCUUGUUACAUCCCCAUCCUGUUGGGUGCAGUCAUACAUUUUAAUA